UACAGAGGUCUCGAGCGUUAGUCGGAAUCACUGGGCUUAAAGCGUACGUAGGCGGAUAUGCAGGCGUCGUGUGAAAUCCCUCCGCUCAACUGAGGAACUGCACGGCGAACCGCAUGUCUUGAGACAAGUAGGGGCGGUCGGAACGAUAGGGGGAGUGGUGAAAGGCGUUGAUAUCUAUCGGAAUGCCGAAGGUGAAAACAGGCCGCUGGGCUUGGUCUGACGCUGAGGUACGAAAGCGUGGGGAGCGAACAGG
rnacentral:rRNA from 1 species